GACGAACGCUGGCGGCGUGCUUAACACAUGCAAGUCGAACGGAAAGGCCCCUUUGGGGGUACUCGAGUGGCGAACGGGUGAGUAACACGUGAGUAACCUGCCCUUGACUUCGGGAUAACUUCAGGAAACUGGGGCUAAUACCGGAUAGGAAUCCUUGCUGCAUGGUGGGGGUUGGAAAGCUUCAGCGGCUUUGGAUGGACUCGCGGCUUAUCGGCUUGUUGGUGGGGUAGUGGCUUACCAAGGCUUUGACGGGUAGCCGGCCUGAGAGGGCGACCGGCCACAUUGGGACUGAGAGACGGCCCAGACUGCGAAGGGAGGCAGCAGGGGGGAAGCUUGCACAAUGGGCGGAAGCCUGAUGCAGAAGCGCCGCGUGCGGGAUGACGGUCUUCGGGUUGUAAACAGGUUUCAGCAGGGGAGAAGCUUGUGGUGACGGUACCUGCAGAAGAAGCACCGGCUAACUACGUG
rnacentral:rRNA from 1 species